CUUACUACUUUGUGAUAGUUAUAAGACUCAUAACCUAUAUAUUUAUGCUCUAUCUUGUAUGUUGAUGAUAUUAUUUAUUAUUGUAAUCAGAGGAAUAUAAUGGAUAAUAUAAAUAAUAUUUUAAUGGACGAAGUUCUUUAUGAUCCCUUUGAAGAUAUUAAUAAUUUAGUUCAUCAAUUUUCAUUAAACGGCUUUAAUAACAUUAUGAACGAAGCGGAAGCCUUAAUCUUGGAGUUUGCCGGGAAUGGUGUUGAAAUGCAUCCACGUAAUGAUGCCCCAGCUAGAAUAUUAAAUUAUUAUGAAGAAGUUGUACCAAAUUAUACCGAUUAUGAAUUUUAUUCCCACUUUCGAAUGUCACGAAAAUCUGUAGAGGUAAGCAAAAAAUUAUGCUAGUCUGAAUUUAAAGUUUAUCACUUGUAAUUUGUUCAUAUGAGCUAGAAAAUAUCAUUCGGCCACAUAUUCCUAACAUUGAUGACGAUGAUCAUGAUGAUAAUGAUAAUAUUAAUCUCAUUCCCUUGAAAAAAAAAAAUUUUAUUAACAAUUUGGAUUUUAGCUACUCCUGAUAGUUAUCGCUCAGUUGCUGAUAGAUUUGGAUUACCUAAGUCUACUGCUCACUUGAUAUUUUAAGUAAUUAUCGAUAGACUGACAUAAUCUCUUGCCCCAGUUCGUUCGUUGACCUGAUGCAAAUGGAUGCGAAGUUAUUGAAGCUGGCUUUCUUUCGAAGCCACAGGGGUUUCCCGGAAUUAUUGGAGCAAUUGAUGGAUGUCAUAUUGAAAUUUUGCAACCACCAGGUAACACUAACGAUUAUUAUAAUCGAAAAUAGAAACAUUCCAUAAUAUUACAAGGUAUUAUGAGUAUUUAAAUAUAUAUAAAUCUAUGUUAACAUAAAACGUUAAGAUGGAGCAUUUAUGAUAUCUUUCAUAUCUCACCAAAUAUUUAUAAACUAUUUUAUAUCAUAUUCUACAGGUAUAUGUGAUGAUAAGGGAAAAUUUAUAGACGUUCUAAUUGGAAGACCAGGGAGAGCACACGAUGCGUCUGUUUUUAGAUCUUCUACUUUAUUCACCCGGCUAACAGAUGCUGAAAAUCCCCUAUUACAGCCUAACCAGCAUAUACUAGGUGAUGCUACGUAUCCAUUAAUGAUGAAUCUUUUAACGCCUUUUAAAGACAAUGGUCAUCUCACUA